rnacentral:lncRNA from 10 species
CGGGGGCGGGGCGGAGGUGGGGCCUUGGGCCAAACCGUCACCCCUGGGCCACAGGCAGCCACGGACCUCGCCUUUCCCACUUGGUUAGAGUCGGCUCUGCCGGGAGAAAGCGAUUCCAGAAUUCCCUAAGUUAAAGGAAUUUCUUACUCCUUCUUGAGCGCCAUCCAAGGGCCAGGCCUUAGUCUAGGAACUGGCAACACCGUGGCGACCACGUCAGACAAGAUCGCUGCCCUCAUUGAGUUCCCAGGUUGGCAGGGGAAACAAAAAUGUAAUAAAUAACUGCACUUUGCAAGAAGAGCUAUGAAGAAAAAACAGGGUGAUGGGAGAGAGAAUGCUUGGAUGUUGAAGGGAGGCCUUUCUGAGAUGGCGACAUCUUGAGCUGAAUAAAGAAGGAUGAGAAAGGAUGGGGCUUGCAAAGUUCUGGCUUCAAAGAAUUCCAGGCAGAGGGAACAAGAGUGAAGUCUCCAGGGGAAGCCAGCUUAGUGUUUGGAGACUAGAAAGAAGGGGUGUGCGGCUGGAAGAUGAAACCCAUAAUUCCAAUUUAAGAAUGAGGAAAACAUCAGAGAGAUUCCAGCAGAGGGAUAUCCCACAAUGCAUCCGCUCAGGACUCCUCAAAACUUUCAAGGUUACCAAAGCAAGGAGAAUCUGACAAAAUGAUCACAGCCCAGAAAAGCCUAUGAAGAUCCGCAAACUACGUGGUAUCUUGGAUGGGACCCUGGAACAGAAAAUAGGCAUUAGGCAAGAAAUCGAG